ensembl:lncRNA
GGGAGGGAUGGAUGGAGGGAGGAAGGGAGCGAGGGAUGGAUGGAUGGAGGAGUGAUGGAUGGAUGGGCGGAUGGAGGGAUGGAUGGACGGAGAGAUGGGUGGAUGGAGGGAUGGAGGGAUGGAAGGAGGGAGGGAUGGGGGGUGGAUGGAGGGAUGGAUGGAUGGAGGAUGGAUGGAUGGACAUAGGGAUGGAUGGAGGGAGGGAGGAAUGGAUGGAUGGAGGGAUGGAUGGAUGGAUGGAUGGAGGGAUGGAGAGAUGGGUGGAUGGAUGG